rnacentral:rRNA from 1 species
GUGCGAACGUUGGUCGGAAUCACUGGGCUUAAAGGGCGCGUAGGCGGGCAGCCGCGUCCGGGGUGAAAUCCUCCCGCUCAACGGGAGAACGGCCUCGGAUACGGGCGGCCUGGAGGCGGGUAGGGGCACGCGGAACUGUGGGUGGAGCGGUGAAAUGCGUUGAGAUCCACAGGAACUCCGGUGGCGAAGGCGGCGUGCUGGACCCGUCCUGACGCUGAGGCGCGAAAGCUAGGGGAGCAAACGGG